GACAGAGGGUGCAAGCGUUGUUCGGAAUCAUUGGGCGUAAAGCGCACGUAGGCGGUUUUGUAAGUCGGAUGUGAAAGCCCAGGGCUCAACCCUGGAAGUGCAUCUGAUACUGCAUGACUUGAGUCUCGGAGAGGGUGGUGGAAUUCCUGGUGUAGAGGUGAAAUUCGUAGAUAUCAGGAGGAACACCGGUGGCGAAGGCGACCACCUGGACGAAGACUGACGCUGAGGUGCGAAAGCGUGGGGAGCAAACAGG
rnacentral:rRNA from 1 species